UUGUAGCGAUUUAGAGCGAAUUUUUAUUCUUUAUUAAAAAUUCGAAGGUUAAUGAUAUAAAGUUUUUAAAAAUCAUGUUUUGCUCAGAAAAUUACACUCUUUCAGAUGAUACAUAAAAAUCGGAAAUCCAAAUUUUUGUGCAAUCAGCCAGCACUGAUGAAGAAAUUCUCCGGGUGUGUUGCCUGCAACAAUUCACUUGCCGAUUUCCCUCCCAGAAGAGUGUCCCUUAAAAUAUCGAAUAGCAACAAGCAACCAGCAUCCGUAAAGAUCAUCGGGCAGUUUAUCUUGCGAAAUACUCUCACCACCAGAGCAUCUUUACACGAAUAGUCCACCUCUUCAGCACCACCAAGCAGAUCAUAACGAGGAUCGCAGUCCAUGCUUCCAUCGGAUGGUAUCGUUGAUUUGUUGAUUCGGAGCUCAUUUCAGAAACGAAUCCUAUCAGAUUUUUUAAGCAAAAACAGUAGAAAAUUUGUUCCAACGAUAAUACGUGUUUGUUGACUUACGAGUUGCAGCUAAUUUCAAGUAAUAAGCUUGAAUUUAUAGAAAUAAUCUUUCUAA